rnacentral:rRNA from 1 species
CACGUAGGGCGCAAGCGUUGUCCGGAAUUAUUGGGCGUAAAGAGCUCGUAGGCGGACUGUCACGUCCGCUGUGAAAAGCUAGGGCUUAACCCUGGCCUUGCAGUGGAUACGGGCAGACUAGAGGUAGGUAGGGGAGAAUGGAAUUCCCGGUGUAGCGGUGAAAUGCGCAGAUAUCGGGAGGAACACCGGUGGCGAAGGCGGUUCUCUGGGCCUUACCUGACGCUGAGGUGCGAAAGCGUGGGGAGCAAACAGG